UCAACAGCGAGAAGGUUAUGCGUAACAAGGACAUUAUAAUAUAUAAAAUGAGAGAUGUGACUGAAUGAAUUCAUAAGUGCUAUUGUCUUUUGCAGAGAGUUACAUGGAUCCUGAAGGUAUAACGAUACGUCAUCUGUAUAGAGGCUGAUCUUAUGUUGUGCGUUUUGUGGCAACUUCCUUGGAAAUGGUGGCAGCACCCACCUCUGUCAUUUACUACACGUCAUGCAGUAAAUCACAUGUCAUACAAAUACUUUGUUCUAAAAUACUAAGCCAUGUAGGUCUGUAAAUCAAAAGUGUCAAUGCAGUUCAUCUAAUUAGGGAAUUCAGCUUCUUUGAGGUCACAUAUUGCUGACAAAGGUGCUCAAUUUUGCACCCAGUUUGUUUAAUCUCCACAAAAAAGUACUGAGAAACAGAAUGAGAUGCGGGUGAAACCACACAAGCUAUGUCAAGUGCCGCCAUCUGCUAGAGGGGCCCCACAAGAGUGGGCUGUAGAACAGUGGAAUUGCAUUAGCAGGAGCUUUAGGAUGAGUUGAAGUAAUCCAGACCUAAUUGUUCGACAUCAGUACCUGACCUCACUAAUACCUGAAGCUCAUAUUGCUAAAUAUAAUCAAAUCUGCGCAGCAAUGUUUCAACAUCUACAGUAAAGUUUUCCAAGAGGCUGUUACUGCAGCAAAGAGGUACAACCUCUCUAUUAAUACCCUUCAUUUCAGAAGAAACGUUGGAAGAGCAGGUGUCUACUAACUUUUGGACAGUGUAGCAGAGUCUGUAUUAGUAUCAUUUGUUCAGUACUAGCCAGGAAAGCCAGUGAAGAAGGCCAAGGUUAAGGUGUUAAAGGACUUUCACUUGCUAUUAGCAUUCAGAACAGAUCGCCCUCUAGUGGUCAUUAGCUACACAGACCUCAGUUCACUAGAACUCAAUCAGCAGCCUCCUCAGAGUGCAAGGCCUCUGCAUGAGCCACGCCGCAUACCAAAGACUCGUGACAUUCACAGACCUACUUGACAAGAAUGGUGAGGGUCGCGGGGGGAUGCUGGAGCCCAUCCCAGCAGUC